CUAGACAUAGUCACCUUUUAAGCUGCUUAGGUGGCAUUGACAAUGCCAAAAUCUUAGGGAUCAAAUUCCUUAAUUUUUGAACUUUGAAUUUUGGCAAUAUUCAAACUCUUUCAAAACUUAAAAUAUCAGCAAAUAGGUGCAACUAAUUGCACAAAUUUAGGCCCCUUUUAAGUUGCCAAAAUUUGUCAAAAUCGUGGCCUGAAAUAGCUGCUGGCAGUAGUGGUUUCAGCCAUGAUUUUGUGGCUAUUGCACCACUAUUCACCUUUGGUUGGCAAUCCUUCUUGGAAUUAUUCCAAAGUACAUUGCUUCCAUGAUUUUUGCAGAAUUUUUCAAGGCCAUUAGAUGCCUUUUUAGUACUGAAAACCGAACCACAACAACUGCUGGACAUAAUCAAAGUUUGGCCCUAAAAUCGCACCAAAACAUCAUGAACUUGAAUAUGAUUUUGCGAAUUUAAUUUGUACAUCUUAUGCACUUCUUAAUCUAGCCAAAUCAAAACAAAAAACUCAUAUUAGUAUAUCCAAAAUUAAGAUUUAAAAUUCACUAAUUAAAUCUGUCCAAGAAAUUGAAACAACUCCAAAAUAGAUUUUAAAAUUUUUAAAUUCUAUCUAGCUUAAACCCGAACACUUCAUAUCAAAUAUAAACAUUGAAUCAACAACAAUGAGACAUUAUUUGUAUUAAAACGAGCGAAGGGAGGCUCUGAUACCACUGCUGGAAUGGCAUGAAACUUAGAGAUAACAAUUAUCAUAUGCAGCAGAAAAUAAAAUUUAAACAUACCUUGCCAUGCCACCACCCAUGGAUCACCUUGGUGGUUUUAAUACAGACAAAAUUUAAGAGAAGUAAACAAAAUAUUACCUAGCCAAGUGAUGUUGUAAUCAUGAUGGCAAAUCCUCUUGACUAAGAGAAGAUACGACACUACUCCUAUUUUGACACAGUCCCGUUUACACCAUGAAGGGAAAAAAAACCCGAGCCACCCAAGCGUUUGGCCUCCAACGGUAUCCACACAAUUGCACUUGAACCUUCAACAAGGUAGGAGCUUUUAACUACUCUCUGUGCUAGCAGAGUGGACAACAGUUGUCCUUUUCUUCACGAAAACUAUAAGCCAAAUCACUCUAAAGAAAAUCAUCACAAGAUUUUCCUCUAAACCACAAGAGGCGGCUAGAGAACUUUUUGUUGUUC
rnacentral:lncRNA from 1 species